GUGUAAGCAUGGUGACAUGUUCAGCUAGGCGGUACUAAUCGGUCGAGGGCUUGUCUAA
rnacentral:rRNA from 1 species